GAUGAACGCUGACAGAAUGCUUAACACAUGCAAGUCAACUUGAAUUUGGGUUUUUAACUUAGGUUUGGGUGGCGGACGGGUGAGUAACGCGUAAAGAACUUGCCUCACAGCUAGGGACAACAUUUGGAAACGAAUGCUAAUACCUAAUAUUAUGAUAAUAGGGCAUCCUAUAAUUAUGAAAGCUAUAAGCGCUGUGAGAGAGCUUUGCGUCCCAUUAGCUAGUUGGAGAGGUAACGGCUCACCAAGGCGAUGAUGGGUAGCCGGCCUGAGAGGGUGAUCGGCCACAAGGGGACUGAGACACGGCCCUUACUCCUACGGGAGGCAGCAGUGGGGAAUAUUGGACAAUGGACCGAGAGUCUGAUCCAGCAAUUCUGUGUGCACGAUGAAGUUUUUCGGAAUGUAAAGUGCUUUCAGUUGGGAAGAAACAAAUGACGGUACCAACAGAAGAAGUGACGGCUAAAUACGUG
rnacentral:rRNA from 1 species